rnacentral:rRNA from 1 species
ACCUGACGACGCAACGCCGCGUGGAGGAUGAAGGUCUUCGGAUUGUAAACUCCUGUUGCUCGGGGAAGAACGGCUCCAACCCAAUACGUUUGGAGUGUGACGGUACCGGGUGAGGAAGCCCCGGCUAACUCUGUGCCAGCAGCCGCGGUAAUACAGAGGGGGCAAGCGUUGUUCGGAAUUACUGGGCGUAAAGGGCGCGUAGGCGGCCUGUUAAGUCGAACGUGAAAUCCCCGGGCUCAACCCGGGAACUGCGUCCGAUACUGGCAGGCUCGAAUCCGGGAGAGGGAUGUGGAAUUCCAGGUGUAGCGGUGAAAUGCGUAGAUAUCUGGAGGAACACCGGUGGCGAAGGCGGCAUCCUGGACCGGUAUUGACGCUGAGGCGCGAAAGCCAGGGGAGCAAACGGGAUUAGAUACCCCGGUAGUCCUGGCCCUAAACGAUGAAUGCUUGGUGUGGCGGGAAUCGAUCCCUGCCGUGCCGAAGCUAACGCAUUAAGCAUUCCGCCUGGGGAGUACGGUCGCAAGGCUG